GACAGAGGGUGCAAACGUUUGUUCGGAAAUUACUGGGCGUAAAAGCGCAUGUAGGCGGCCAAGCAGGUCGGAUGUGAAAUCCCUCGGCUCAACCAAAGGAAGUGCAUUCGAAACCGCAUGGCUGGAGUCCCGGAGAGGUAGUGGAAUUCCCGGUGUAAGUGGUGAAAUGCGUAGAGAUCGGGAGGAACACCUGGUGGCGAAGGCGGCCCCCCUGGGCCGGCCUGACACUGCGACGCGAAGGCGCUGGGGAGCGAACGGG
rnacentral:rRNA from 1 species